rnacentral:tRNA from 1 species
GAGGGUAUGGCUCAGUUGUAGAGCAUGUGCUUAACAGGCACAAAGUCCUGGGUUCAAUCCCCAGUACCUCCA